ACGCUGGCGGCAGGCCUAACACAUGCAAGUCGAGCGGAAACGACAACAUUGACCCUUCGGGUGAUUUGUUGGGCGUCGAGCGGCGGACGGGUGAGUAAUGCCUGGGAAAUUGCCCUGAUGUGGGGGAUAACCAUUGGAAACGAUGGCUAAUACCGCAUAACGUCUACGGACCAAAGAGGGGGACCUUCGGGCCUCUCGCUUCAGGAUAUGCCCAGGUGGGAUUAGCUAGUUGGUGAGGUAAUGGCUCACCAAGGCGACGAUCCCUAGCUGGUCUGAGAGGAUGAUCAGCCACACUGGAACUGAGACACGGUCCAGACUCCUACGGGAGGCAGCAGUGGGGAAUAUUGCACAAUGGGCGCAAGCCUGAUGCAGCCAUGCCGCGUGUAUGAAGAAGGCCUUCGGGUUGUAAAGUACUUUCAGCAGUGAGGAAGGYKYWKGMGUUAAUAGCKYMWRSRUUUGACGUUAGCKRCAGAAGAAGCACCGGCUAACUCCGUGCCAGCAGCCGCGGUAAUACGGAGGGUGCGAGCGUUAAUCGGAAUUACUGGGCGUAAAGCGCAUGCAGGUGGUUUGUUAAGUCAGAUGUGAAAGCCCGGGGCUCAACCUCGGAACCGCAUUUGAAACUGGCAGGCUAGAGUACUGUAGAGGGGGGUAGAAUUUCAGGUGUAGCGGUGAAAUGCGUAGAGAUCUGAAGGAAUACCAGUGGCGAAGGCGGCCCCCUGGACA
rnacentral:rRNA from 1 species